rnacentral:rRNA from 1 species
UUGCUUCUCUUUCGACCGGCGGACGGGUGAGUAAUGCCUAGGAAUCUGCCUAGUGGUGGGGGAUAACGUUCGGAAACGGACGCUAAUACCGCAUACGUCCUACGGGAGAAAGCGGGGGACCUUCGGGCCUCGCGCCAUUAGAUGAGCCUAGGUCGGAUUAGCUAGUUGGUGAGGUAAUGGCUCACCAAGGCUACGAUCCGUAACUGGUCUGAGAGGAUGAUCAGUCACACUGGAACUGAGACACGGUCCAGACUCCUACGGGGAGGCAGCAGUGGGGAAUAUUGGACAAUGGGCGAAAGCCUGAUCCAGCCAUGCCGCGUGUGUGAAGAAGGUCUUCGGAUUGUAAAGCACUUUAAGUUGGGAGGAAGGGUACUAACUUAAUACGUUGCUACUUUGACGU